rnacentral:lncRNA from 1 species
AAGUUAGCUGCUAUAGGGCAACCGCCCUCUGUAUAGGAUGUUACUUCCGCUAGUCUCCGAAAACAAUGAAUUUGUUGUCACUCCUUUUUAACUAGAAAACGGGUCUAUGCAUGGCCAUAUAAUGUGUAGAAUCUGCAGUAGUCUGUGCAUAUAAUUCAACCGCCACACGUACUUCAACAGUCUCUACAUUUAAGAAUAAGGCAAGUAGAUAGUUUUUAGAACGAAGAAAUGGAUGAUGACGAGACGCAUGAAUUUUGGAUGCUUGAAGAAACUCAGCUAGUAAUCAAUAAUCGUAAAACACGGAAAAGCUAUUCGUUUAGAAUAAACAAUACAUGCGUACUCUGUUUCGUCAUCUGGUAUCUAUAUAUGAUGAUGCUGCUGAGAAUAUACCAAAUGAUGCUCACGAAGCAAGAAAAUAUGUUGACUCAGGUGAGAAUGAAAUUUUUGGAAACAAGGCAGGAGAUGGAUCGAGUGCAAAUAUUGGACAAUAAGCUGGCAUUCCACAUUGGCUACGUGAAGAGUCUUCUCAAGAACAAAACAACAUACGACACUGGUUACUGACUAUUGCAUUCAGGGCCUGAGUUCAUGCACCCGAGCUUCAUGUUAAAGCGAUUCAUUCCGCAGGAUGACACUGACUGAUUAAUGAUACGGAUAUGACUGUCCUGCGGUACAGAUAGAGGCACGAGUCGUGAGCACGCGCGUGAUUGGUCAGUUUGAUGUCCAAUGUUUCGCGCGAUUGGUUCGUCUGUCCAUGCUCAUUCUCUGGCUUACAUGUGACUUUCGUCCAAUUUACUUGUGCUCAUGACUUAUGCGAUUUACUGUAUCUCUAAAGCGGCUUAACAUCGGCCUAUGGGGUUGCAUCAUAACAUCGCAUGUGUUCAAUAAUGGUUUCUUUAACUCAGGCUGGGCGUUUCACACGGCCUGCAUUAACUAGAUACUAAGCUCUCUUAGAAUAUUAUUAAAUUUCUAUAUAAGAAUGCAUCUAAAUGUGUCGACUGCUUCACUAUGAGUGAUUUUAACCUUAGACAACACCCAGUAGAAUAUAGAAAAGUAUUUCGAAAUAUCCUGUCAGUUUAUAGCUAUAAUGAAAUUCAAAUUGCAAUUUUAUUAGAUGUUACGAGUAGUGGGAGCUGUGGUAAAAUAUUUCAAUAUACCUAAUCUAAAUCUCAAAUAAUUGGUGUCCCUGUAGCACUUCUGUCUAGCUGUUAUAAGAUAAACUUGUCUAUGUAUACACUCAUUUUGGCACUGCUUUAAUAAAUUAAACCACAUACUCGACUUUACCUCUAGUAACAUUGUCCCACAUAUUAUCCAUGUAUAACAAAUAUUCACAGUUAUAUUUUCCUGGUUUUUUAAUUUAUCAUUUUGUAGUUUAGUGCGAAAAUGGCAACUGCGUGAGUGUAUUUCUGAUUGAAACUAUGAUGUUGCCGCUGCGACGUAUUGUCUUAGAGCUGUAAUAAGCGCAUAAAAUUAAAAGUACUAUUUAUUGAUAUUUAUUUUGUUUGCACACUUUUUGUUUUACAGCUACGGUUCGAGUAGUUAUUGUGAAGUGUUAUAUUCAAGAAGAUAAGUAUGUGGUUUCAUUUAGUAAUGCGAUGUCAAAAUUACCCUGUUAUAUGUUAGCGAUGCAAUCAGCACUAUAUCAUUACCUUUUUAAGAUCAAACAUAUUAAGUGUACACUAAGGAUGUAUAAUAGGUUACAUUACUAAAUAUCAAUUGUGAUUAUGUAGGUAUGUAACUAAGAAUAUAAUAUUUAUGACGUUGUUCGGAAGAAAGUUUUAUCCGUUUAUUUAUAUUAUUAAGUCAUAUGUUAUGAUUCAAGUAAGUGUAUUUUGUUGACUAAUACUUCGUUUUUACAUUAUUUUUAGAUAUAGUACCAAAUUUAACAUAAAAAGUGUGAUCUGUGUAAUGUACUAGAUGUUGCUCGCGACUUCCCCCGCAUGAUAUACCUUUCCUGCUAAAAGUCUCUAGAAUAUUGUACAUAUUCAAGUCACUUGUUCGAUGGCCGCACAAUAUAUUUAAUAAAAAACCGUAGGAGCAAAUUUCUGGAAUAAACGUAGCAACAAUCGCAUUUAAUAUUAGUAAGGUUUCUGAAUGUAAUAUUUAACUGCAAUAUAAAUAAAAUAAACAAUAUAUCUUCCAA